rnacentral:rRNA from 1 species
GACGAACGCUGGCGGCGUGCCUAACACAUGCAAGUCGAGCGAGCGAAUCUCCUUCGGGAGUGAAGCUAGCGGCGGACGGCAGAGUAACACGUGGGCAACCUGCCUCAUAGAGGGGAAUAGCCUUUCGAAAGGAAGAUUAAUACCGCAUAAGAUUGUGGGUUCGCAUGAAGUAGCAUUUAAAGGAGCAAUCCGCUAUGAGAUGGGCCCGCGGCGCAUUAGCUAGUUGGUGAGGUAACGGCCCACCAAGGCGACGAUGCGUAGCAGAUCUGAGAGGGUGAUCGGGCACAUUGGGACUGAGACACGGCCCAGACUCCUACGGGAGGCAGCAGUGGGGAAUAUUGCACAAUGGGGGAAACCCUGAUGCAGCAACGCCGCGUGAGUGAUGACGGCCUUCGGGUUGUAAAGCUCUGUCUUCAGGGACGAUAAUGACGGUACCUGAGGAGGAAGCCACGGCUAACUACGUGCCAGCCGCCGCCGUAAGAC